CCUGCGGAACGGGGGCCUCUGGAGGGGGGGCAGGGCGUCAGGUGGGGGUGCUACCCGGGUUCGAGAAUGAUACCCUUUACAAGGAUGCGAGACUGAAACGUGGCUUAAAAACAAAAAGAGAAAUCUAUCCAUUUGGAAGGUAAUGUUGGCUCUGGCCAGCAGGGCCGCAUAGGGGGAAGCCGGCCUCCGAGGUGAACCAGCCGGGAGGAAAAGCGGAAAGUGCCUCAGGUGGGGGAUUUGUUAUCUUCACCAGAGAGGCCGGGACUCUGGAGCGAGGGGGCGGGGCCGGGGCGGGGCGGGGACUGAGGGACCGGGCGCUUCUUCGUCCUUCCCAAACCGCCGGGACAAUCCCUGGAGGCUCCUCCAGGUGACAAGAUAAUGGCGGCUCUGGAGGGAGAUGAGGUCAGACAUCCAGUACCUAUAACUACAGCCCCGACUGGCCCCUGCAUUCUCCAUUGGAUGAAACACAGAAAUCUUCAGUGGCACAGCAGACAGCCAGAGAAGUGGCUCUGGCAGCAGUGUGCUGAGCAUCUUGGCAUCUUGGCAUGGCAGAAGCUAUUGUCUGGUUUGGUGGUGAGAGUCCCACACUACUGGGGAAGCUUAGUGACCUAGUUCAGACAACUGUAACCACUGGCUACAAGUAAUUUUGGCUGAGCAGCAGCACACCCUGAUAAAACCAUCUCAGCAGCCAGACUAAAGCAGGCUUCAAAUUAAUUGACAAGCAGGUCAGUGUCUACACCAGUCAUGUGAAGACAUCCUCUGAGAGAAUGGGUGGAUGAGAACAAUUUGAUCCAGCAGCCAUAAAGUAACCUAUGUUCACUAUCCUUACCUUGUUAAUCAUUACCUAUCAUUGUUUCUGUAAAAAUAUAACCUAAUUCUUUAGCCCAUGUCAUUUCCCCUAUAAAUUGUGUUCCCCAAAUCAAUAAACUAAGUCACUGCCCAGCCC
rnacentral:lncRNA from 1 species